rnacentral:rRNA from 1 species
GACGUAGGAUGCAAGCGUUGUCCGGAAUUAUUGGGCGUAAAGAGUUCGUAGGCGGUUACUUAAGUCUGGUGUUAAAUACUGAAGCUCAACUUCAGCAUGGCAUUGGAAACUGGGUGGCUAGAGUGCGGUAGAGGUCUCGGGAAUUCCAGGUGUAGCGGUGAAAUGCGUAGAUAUCUGGAGGAACACCGGUGGCGAAAGCGCGAGACUGGGCCGUAACUGACGCUGAGGAACGAAAGCCAGGGGAGCAAAAGGG